AUUAAGAAUAACAAGAAAUGUUGAUUACAUAAAAAGGAGAAAAAUAUGUCCGAAAUAUUUAAGUCUUUUUAUAUUAUGAUCAUCUUUAUUUCUCUAUUUUUUUUUUUGUAGGCAACGUAAGCGCUACUUAUGCUUUAUAUUGCAAUGAUGAAAUAGAGUGUAAUCCCGAAAAUUGUCCACUUCCUCUGACAGUGAUUUGUACUGGUGAUAACAUGUGCAUGUGCUUAGAACCAUUUCAGUUUUUUGAACAACCUUAGUCGUCUCUAAAUCAUAUUAUUUAUACUAUGCAAAUAUUAUCGCCGAAUAAAAAUAAAGCUCAUAUUAUGUUGCUCUUCAACAAGCAAGGAUAGAUGCCAAAUUGAAUAGCUUAAGUCACAAUUUUAUACCAAGAUAUAUUAUCUGAAGUUAGUUUGAAUUGUAACAAGGGACAUCCUAACGGGUGUCCCUGGAUACUGGUUAAACAUACCAAAAAGGAAAAUUAUUAUCAUAAAAGGAAA